rnacentral:lncRNA from 1 species
AUGAGCAAUCUCAUCAUCUCUAAAGGAAUCCUCCACAGAUUUCAAUGGCUUCCCAAGGGAACAGGAAUAUAUGACACAGCUUCAGGAGCAUUGUGGAUCCCAAGUGGAAAUCUAGUCCCCAUUCCUUCCUCACUUCCAUGCUGUGACCGUCCUCAGUGUCCUGAAGCAAGUCCUCAUCCAGAUUCCCUUCAGGAAGCUUGUCUUGGCUGAAUUUUUGCAGCUUAGCAGUUACUUUUGAACUCAACAAUUUUAAGCUUGAUUACAGGACUGAAGCCAUGUUAAAGGGAAAGAAGUACUGCCAGACCCUGUGAACCCAUUUUAUUACUUGAAGUAAGAAGAAAAGCAUCUGCUGUUUCCUUGGCUUUGAUUGAGUGUUCCCAGGCCUGAGAGGAAGCUGUUUGCAGCCAUGGGGGAACUGCCUGCUUCCUGCUCUUGGAUCAAGGUAGCUUCAGCUCUUGGGCCUCACCCAAUCCUUCUGGGUGCAUGGGCUUACGGCCUUCUUCCAGGGCAACUUGUUCUAGUUCUUUCCCUCGUGUCAAAUGCAAGUCUUUAUCAUCACAUCUGCUCCAAAAUGCUGACAAGAGGAACAAAUUAGCCCAGAAGGAAAUCAUGAUUCCUCCAUGUGGUACCCUCAAGUCCAGGAGAGGAUAAUGUUUUGCCACAUGAGGCAAGGACUGAGCAAGAUGAACACUGAUUACAAGCAGCAGAGCUGAGGGAAGUGUCCUGCUCAGAUACAUUACUUCCCAUGUCCUGUUCCCUUUCUUCACUUCAGGAAUACGUAUAUUGGGUUGGCAAACUAUGGUUCUCCAAAGAAAAUCAGAAAGCAAAGCCACAGUGCUCCUAGUUUUGUAAAACUGAUAAUGGUAACUGUGGUCAACCCUCUUCAGGAGAUGAAAUACACUUUAUUAUUUCAUUAUGAGCUUAUUAAGCUGUUUCAGCAAUUAUCAGCAGUAAUAAAAACACAUAUCUCCUGAGUGUUCUACAUAGGUCUUCUGUUGAAGUUUUCUCUAAAAUUACCAAUACCGGAAAUUUAUUUUCAUUCACCUUUCUGAAAUGGAACCACUAUAGAUACACUGGAAGGAGAUUCAGUCUUGACCCUUUGAGAGUGUUAAGAAUUUGUGAUUUAUUAUUUUAGUUCCUAAAGCGAUAGUGUGAAAGUAGAUACUUUUGUUUUCACCUGUUUUGCUUUUAUAACCAAGAAUGAAUUCAGGAAAAAUAUUGAUGUAGGCUGGGAGGAGAGAAGACUUAAAGUACAGCUUGCAAGAAAGAAAAAAAAAAAAAAGACGAGAAUUUGAGAACAUGUGGACUGCCUGUGCCUAAAGAAGCAUUAUUUCUGUGAGCACUACAUGAAUAAAGCUGUUUUCCCUGCAGAUUUGUGUCUGGUAGCUGACUGCUAACUUAAUCUGAAGUUGUUUUCCUGCAGUUGUUUCUCUGAGAUGUCUCAGCUGUGUGGUUUCUCUGGCUUCUAUUAGUGUAUGAGUAAAGACUCUACUGUUCCCAAACAUUGAAUACUGCUGCCUAUAGCCUCUCUCUUCUUCCUCCAUGCUUCUUUUCACAAAAUGCAUGGGAAUGUGGUCAUAUUUGAGAUAUCCAUCAAAUUUGGCUUGAUUUUGGUCGAAGGGCUCAAAAAAUUACUGUGAAGGGACACAGACAGACAUGAACAUGUAUUAAAUGAUUACAUAAACUCAGCUUCCCCAGGAAACAGGGAUUGAAAGCUGCUCUGUAUAAAGAGAAAUAUUUACCAACCAAAUACCAAAGGAAACUUUAAAUAAAAUUUUGCCAGAGUUAGAAUGUAGAAUUUGGAACUUGAUACUUGAAUAUUUCAUGUUGAAAAUGGGCUCAAUUUCUUGGGGAUCUAAUCUUAUUUUCUAAAUGUCCCAUUAGGUUACUUUAUUAUUUUCAUUACAGUGAAAAAAAAAAAAAAAAUUGCUAAUAAAGACAGACAAAUUUUAAGAAACAACAUAUGGGCUAGUAUGGUAGAGCUACUUUCCAAGAGAAAAAGUAACCCCAUCUGAGAUAGGAGAUUGUUAUUCUUUAUAACCUUCAUUCAUUUAAUGCAGUUUCAUUUGUUUGUUUUUUCUUUUUUCUUUUUUUUUGUUUGUUUGUUUUUCUUUUUCCAACCAAAGAUAUGUACAGUCUACACCAAACUUGGAAAUAUGGUGGUGCAUUUGCAGUGUUGAGAAGCCUCAGCGUGUGUGACUGAAAAGGCUAAAUCUAAUUCCAAUCUUAUCCAGAUCUGACGAGGAGCAAAGACAGUGGCUACAGUGGAUUUCCAGCAGACUUUAAGAGCUCUCACUCCUCAUGUGGCCAACUCCAUCCCAGAGGCUGGAGAAUAUUACUGUAGUAGUAGAAGGAAAAAAGCCCAGAUGAAUGAAUAGUUGUGUAAUUUUGUGGUCACCAAUCUAGAGAAUAGAAAUUCCAGAAUGUGCACGUUAUCCACAAUGAGUGAAGUCAUUUUUUGGAGCAAGCUAUAGAAUUACUUUUCAAGGAGACCAUGAUGUGAAGCAGACCAAACUACAGAGGGAGCAGACUGUGCCACUUCAGGAAUAUGUGUUGUACCUGCUUGGAUUUUUCAUCCUUUCAUUCUUUCAUAGUUUAUUAGUCAAUAUAUUUU